rnacentral:rRNA from 1 species
UUAGAGUUUGAUCCUGGCUCAGGAUGAACGCUAGCGGCAGGCUUAACACAUGCAAGUCGAGGGGCAGCGAGAUCAGUGCUUGCACUGAUUGUCGGCGACCGGCGCACGGGUGCGUAACGCGUAUGCAACCUACCCAUUACAUGGGGAUAACACUGAGAAAUCGGUACUAAUACCCCAUAACAUCCAGGGAGGCAUCUUCUUGGGUUGAAAACUCCGGUGGUAAUGGAUGGGCAUGCGUUGUAUUAGUUAGUUGGUGGGGUAACGGCUCACCAAGACAACGAUACAUAGGGGGACUGAGAGGUUAACCCCCCACAUUGGUACUGAGACACGGACCAAACUCCUACGGGAGGCAGCAGUGAGGAAUAUUGGUCAAUGGACGCAAGUCUGAACCAGCCAUGCCGCGUGCAGGAAGACGGCUCUAUGAGUUGUAAACUGCUUUUGUACGAGGGUAAACGCAGAUACGCGUAUCUGUCUGAAAGUAUCGUACGAAUAAGGAUCGGCUAACUCCGUGCCAGCAGCCGCGGUAAUACGGAGGAUUCAAGCGUUAUCCGGAUUUAUUGGGUUUAAAGGGUGCGUAGGCGGUCGGAUAAGUUAGAGGUGAAAUCCCGGGGGCUCAACUUCGGAAUUGCCUCUGAUACUGUUCGGCUAGAGAGUAGUUGCGGUAGGCGGAAUGUAUGGUGUAGCGGUGAAAUGCUUAGAGAUCAUACAGAACACCGAUUGCGAAGGCAGCUUACCAAGCUACUUCUGACGUUGAGGCACGAAAGCGUGGGGAGCAAACAGGAUUAGAUACCCUGGUAGUCCACGCAGUAAACGAUGAUAACUCGUUGUCGGCGAUACAGUGUCGGUGACUAAGCGAAAGCGAUAAGUUAUCCACCUGGGGAGUACGUUCGCAAGAAUGAAACUCAAAGGAAUUGACGGGGGCCCGCACAAGCGGAGGAACAUGUGGUUUAAUUCGAUGAUACGCGAGGAACCUUACCCGGGCUUGAAAGUUAGUGACGGAUCUUGAAAGAGGUCUUCCCUUCGGGGCACGAAACUAGGUGCUGCAUGGUUGUCGUCAGCUCGUGCCGUGAGGUGUCGGGUUAAGUCCCAUAACGAGCGCAACCCCUACCGUUAGUUGCCAGCAGGUCAAGCUGGGCACUCUGACGGGACUGCCGGUGUAAGCCGAGAGGAAGGUGGGGAUGACGUCAAAUCAGCACGGCCCUUACGUCCGGGGCUACACACGUGUUACAAUGGCAGGUACAGAGGGCAGCUACCCAGCGAUGGGAUGCGAAUCUCGAAAGCCUGUCUCAGUUCGGAUUGGAGGCUGAAACCCGCCUCCAUGAAGUUGGAUUCGCUAGUAAUCGCGCAUCAGCCAUGGCGCGGUGAAUACGUUCCCGGGCCUUGCACACACCGCCCGUCA